CUCAGCCAAGAAACUCCUGAAGCUGUUCUGAACCGCAGUGGAGGCAGCCAAUUCGGGAGUCACCCGGAUGGUGCUGGGUGGAAAGGAGAAAAGGAAAGCCAAAUCAGAGACAGACAUGCACAAGGGGUGUGGGAGUGGCUCGGAGGAGCACAUCACCCACAGGAGAGGCUGCGUGAAAGUCUCAGAGAAGGCGGUUUUUCACACGUCCUAGGAAGACAUUCUAUCUCUCCCAGCCCCAGGGAACGAAAACACCCUUUCUGCCAGGGUCAGUGGAAAAGGAACUGUUCAGAAGGAUGAAAAUUCCUGGGAACGAAGGUGCACUCCAGAGCCAAGGCAAACCCAGAAUACAGAGUCAGCCACAGGCUUUCCCACCCCCAUCACCAUCCUCCCCUGGGAUAGUGUGAUAAGAACUCCAGCUGAUUUCCGGUUCUGCAGCAAAUCACUUGACCUCCUGGGCCAAGGAUUUCAUCUCAGUACAUGGGGCAGGUGGUCUUGGUCUCCUCCAGUGCUAACACCCCACAUUUCAACAUGCUAGAAAUAAGCUACAAUAAAUGAGACGUGAGGAAUAAACACAAAGCGCUGGAAAACCCAAAAGACUUCUAUGGGAAUGGGCUUUCACUUUGGCCACAGAUUUGCUUCCCAUUAUUUUUUUUAUCCAGUAUAAAAUUAAAACAAAUUCAUUCCAUAAAUAUUCUGGGUGAUGGAGGGA